GAUGAACGCUGGCGGCGUGCCUAAUACAUGCAAGUCGAGCGAACGGACGAGGAGCUUGCUUCUCUGAUGUUAGCGGCGGACGGGAGAGUAACACGUGGAUACCCUCCCUAUAAGACUGGGAUAUCUUCGGGACACCGGAGCUAAUACCGGAUGAUAUUUUGAACCGCAUGGUUCAAAGGUGAAAGACGGUCUUGCGGUCACGUAUAGAUGGAUCCGCGCUGCAUGAGCGAGUUGGUAAGGUAACGGCUUACCAAGGCAAGGAUGCAUAGCCGACCUGAGAGGGGGAUCGGCCACCCUGGAACUGAGCCACGGUCCAGACUCCUACGGGAGGCAGCAGUAGCGAACCGUACGCAACGGGCGAAAGCCUGACGGAGCAACGCCGCGUGAGUGAUGAAGGUCUUCGGAUCGUAAAACUCUGUUAUUAGGGAAGAACAUAUGUGUAAGUAACUGUGCACAUCUUGACGGUACCUAAUCAGAAAGCCACGGCUAACUACGUG
rnacentral:rRNA from 1 species